rnacentral:lncRNA from 1 species
UUCGCCUAGGAACCAGAAAGAAUCCACAGCCACUACAGCCACUGGAAAUAGGCCCACCAACUGUGGUCUCCACUAUGAACCUACUAUCAGGUGUAAGAUCUGGGACUACAUUCUAUUUUCUGUAAAUUGUGCAGAGCAAGUGUGUGGUGACCGUUUUUUCCCCCUCGGAUUUUAAUCUACUGGAUAUGCCCAUAGAGUUUGCAGGAAUAACGGCUGGUUCUGGAAGCUGUUGGAGAUGUGAGAUAAAGAAAGAGAAUAAAUAUAAAACAUCAAUACUACUAUUUUGAAACACUGAUUUACUUUUCGGAAAGAGAAGAAAGGGCAAAGGGAUGGGAACUAAUAUAGAUAUACCAAAUUAUGUGCAACACACACAAGAGAAAGAGGAAAAAGAAUGAGAAAGAGAAAGAGACAUUUGCUUCCCAGCCAUCCCAGUGUUCAUCAACAAGAACAACAACAACAACAGCAACAACAACAAAAUCAAAGGAGUGACAAUCUGUUCUUAGACUGUCUUCACAGUUCCCCACCAGAAAAAAGAGUAUUCCUUUUCUGCAGCACUUAAAUCCUAUACUGGCAGCAAUGAAAACCCAAGGGAAAUUAUCUACAAGUAUGAACAGACAGUCCUCAAUUUAUUUACGAGUUCGACCUACGAUUUUUUUGACUUCACAGUGGU